rnacentral:rRNA from 1 species
GACGAACGCUGGCGGCGUGCUUAACACAUGCAAGUCGAACGGAAAGGCCCUGCUUGCAGGGUACUCGAGUGGCGAACGGGUGAGUAACACGUGGGUGAUCUGCCCUGCACUUCGGGAUAAGCUUGGGAAACUGGGUCUAAUACCGGAUAGGAACCAUCUUUAGUGUGGUGGUUGGAAAGUUUUUUCGGUGUAGGAUGAGCUCGCGGCCUAUCAGCUUGUUGGUGGGGUAAUGGCCUACCAAGGCGGCGACGGGUAGCCGGCCUGAGAGGGUGUACGGCCACAUUGGGACUGAGAUACGGCCCAGACUCCUACGGGAGGCAGCAGGGGGGAAUAUUGCACAAUGGGCGCAAGCCUGAUGCAGCGACGCCGCGUGGGGGAUGAAGGCCUUCGGGUUGUAAACUCCUUUCGCUAGGGACGAAGCUUUGUUGUGACGGUACCUAGAUAAGAAGCACCGGCUAACUACGUG